UCUUCGGUAGCUGAGAUGGUAAAGAAUCUGCCUGCUAUGUAGGAGACCCAGGUUUAACUCCUGGGUCAGGAA
rfam:TPA: Bos taurus chromosome 8, whole genome shotgun sequence.